GGAGAGGUGUCCGAGCGGUUUAAGGUGCCAAUCUCGAAAAUUGGUGUGGUGUUGAGCCACCGCGGGUUCGAAUCCCGCCCUCUCCGCCA
rnacentral:tRNA from 1 species